rnacentral:rRNA from 1 species
UUUCUUUGCUGGCGACCGGCGCACGGGUGAGUAACACGUAUCCAACCUGCCCUUUACUCGGGGAUAGCCUUUCGAAAGAAAGAUUAAUACCCGAUAGCAUAAUGAUUCCGCAUGGUUUCAUUAUUAAAGGAUUCCGGUAAAGGAUGGGGAUGCGUUCCAUUAGGUUGUUAGUGAGGUAACGGCUCACCAAGCCUUCGAUGGAUAGGGGUUCUGAGAGGAAGGUCCCCCACAUUGGAACUGAGACACGGUCCAA